UACAGAGGUCCCAAGCGUUUGUUCGGAUUCACUGGGCGUAAAGGGUGCGUAGGCGGUCAGGUAAGUCUGAUGUGAAAUCUCUGGGCUUAACCCAGAAAUGGCAUUGGAUACUAUUUGGCUUGAGAGUUGGAGGGGGGACUGGAAUUCUUGGUGUAGCAGUGAAAUGCGUAGAUAUCAAGAGGAACACCAGUGGCGAAAGGCGAGUCCCUGGACAACUUCUGACGUGAGGCACGAAAGCUAGGGGAGCAAACAGG
rnacentral:rRNA from 1 species